rnacentral:rRNA from 1 species
GGAUGCGAUUAUAUCAGCACUAACGCACCAAAUUUCAAAAUUAAGCGUGCCUAGGCAAGAAUGGUACUAAGAUGAGCGAUCCUCUGGGAAGUCUUCGUGUUACAUCUC